AGCGAACACUGGCGGCAGGCCUAACACAUGCAAGUCGAACGAAGUCUUCGGACUUAGUGGCGGACGGGUGAGUAACACGUGGGAACGUGCCUUUAGGUUCGGAAUAACUCAGGGAAACUUGUGCUAAUACCGAAUGUGCCCUUCGGGGGAAAGAUUUAUCGCCUUUAGAGCGGCCCGCGUCUGAUUAGCUAGUUGGUGAGGUAAUGGCUCACCAAGGCUACGAUCAGUAGCUGGUCUGAGAGGAUGACCAGCCACAUUGGGACUGAGACACGGCCCAAACUCCUACGGGAGGCAGCAGUGGGGAAUCUUGCGCAAUGGGCGAAAGCCUGACGCAGCCAUGCCGCGUGGAUGAUGAAGGUCUUAGGAUUGUAAAAUCCUUUCACCGGUGAAGAUAAUGACUGUAGCCGGAGAAGAAGCCCCGGCUAACUUCGUGCCAGCCGCCGCAGUAAGAC
rnacentral:rRNA from 1 species